CAAAACCACAUUUUCCAUGUCCACGUUUUGGCCCAUUUUUCAUUUCCACGAAAAUACUAACCUUUACCACGGCAGAGCCACGAACGACGAAUGAUAAAAAAUGAUGACAGCCACGAACAACUGGUGAUAUUUGGCGAUGACCGACGUCUAACGGUGACCCACAACGCGAACAGAUCAGUAACACUCGAAUGGCUACGCGCGAACGGCUCCACCCUAACAUUUGACGAUGACCCACUUCAACGAGGCUUAUGAACAGUGGUAAUGGCUUACCUGUUUUUGAUUUCAAGACAUUGCGCACAGCUGACCCUUUUAUUGCUGAUCUGUUUUAUAUAGGUUGUUCAAAUGUGUCCUUAAGUUCUAAGGUUCCACGACCAUAAGAAAGCUCAAACAUGAAGAAGUCAAAGAUUUUGCUUGUCCUUUUUGAAUGAAUGACCUAUAAGUAAUUGUAGGCUCCAUAAGACAAUGGAGUGUAUCCAUUCGACACUAGGUGGAGGUGGCAAGAAAAAAGAAAGCAAAAAGAAUAGCGGGAUGGACUAUGAACAGACCAUCAGUCCUGGACACAUACCAAUCUUGGCUAAAAGAUGUCUUGGAUCUGAUCACUAGAAGAAGGAGAAACAGAAAGGUUCUUAGUCUUCAAUAUGUAGUUCUCAUUCUUUUUCUUUUUUCUAAUAUUCUAUGUUAGUAGAUUUAGAUAAUGAGCACACUUUUGAAUUAUUUCAUUUAUUAUCUUGAAAAUUUUACUCGUAAGUUGAGAUUAUGAAUUAGUUUUAGCUUAUCGGGAGGCAUUUGUUUGAUUUAGACUUGAAGUUCUUACUUUCAGGCAUGUUAUAAUUGAUUGAUUUUGAUGUUAUUGUCGAA